rnacentral:rRNA from 1 species
GAUGAACGCUGGCGGCGUGCCUAAUACAUGCAAGUCGAGCGAACAGACGAGGAGCUUGCUCCUCUGACGUUAGCGGCGGACGGGUGAGUAACACGUGGAUAACCUACCUAUAAGACUGGGAUAACUUCGGGAAACCGGAGCUAAUACCGGAUAAUAUAUUGAACCGCAUGGUUCAAUAGUGAAAGACGGUUUUGCUGUCACUUAUAGAUGGAUCCGCGCCGCAUUAGCUAGUUGGUAAGGUAACGGCUUACCAAGGCAACGAUGCGUAGCCGACCUGAGAGGGUGAUCGGCCACACUGGAACUGAGACACGGUCCAGACUCCUACGGGAGGCAGCAGUAGGGAAUCUUCCGCAAUGGGCGAAAUCUUGACGGAGCAACGCCGCGUGAGUGAUGAAGGUCUUCGGAUCGUAAAACUCUGUUAUUAGGGAAGAACGAAUGUGUAAGUAACUAUGCACGUCUUGACGGUACCUAAUCAGAAAGCCACGGCUAACUACGUG